CACCUCAAGAUAAGACUUCCCACACGGUCAACGUGGUAAGACCCCUUGUAGAAGACAAGGUUGAUAGGCUGGAGGUGGAAGCGCCGCGAGGCGUGUAGCUGACCAGUACUAAUCGGUCGAGGGCUUAUCCU
rnacentral:rRNA from 1 species